UGUUCAAGCGCGCGCGGGGCGGGGUGCGCUGCGCUCCGCGGCGCCGUGCGCAGGGCGAGCGCUGCGCUCCCGCGCCGGCCGUGCAGCGGUGGCAGCUUGCGCUCCCAUCGGCUGCCGCCACCGCUCUCCCGCACCCCUCCCAGCUCGCCUCUGCGGCGCGCAGAGAGGGGCAGGACCUCUUUCCCCACGAAGGCGGCAGCAGGGUGCGGGCGGCACUCGCGGGAGUAGUUUGGGGAAGAGGUGAAGAAGGUGCUGGAACUGUGCUGUGCCUCUGCCCCGCUGGAGGGGCGGGGAGGAGCCAACGUGACGGGCCUGGGAUCAGCUGUGCCUGGCUGUUGGGAGUGUGCGUCCGUGUGUAUGCGCGCGCGCCCGGGGCGGGUGUCUCCCCCCCUUAAAAAAAAAGCACGUGCACAUCUGCCCAGCUGUGCCCUGCUUUGCUGCUGAUCCUCCUCCUCCUGCUCACAAGCACAUGUAAGCCUGGAUGUCUCUUUGGAAGAUGCAGCUGAAAAUCGUUGGCUGUGGCAAUUGAUGUGCUCUCCUCCAUCACUCAGCUCAGCUUUCCAUGAAAUGUGACUGUGGAGAGUCGACCUGGGCUGGAUGCCAGGUGCCCACCGAACUGCACUAGCACCGCCUUCGUCAGCUGGGCGUGGAAGGGGGACAAAAUAAAAUGGAAAGCAGCUCACAGGUCAAGAAGCAGUGGGAUUUUUAAGUCUGCUACACUUACCGCCACAUAAUUUCUUUAGAACUAUGAGGUGAAAAUUCAGGUGGCAUGGAAAAGAUGCUGAAGAGGCAGAGAGGCUCUCUGGAGUGAACGCAAUUGCAUGUCUGUCAGGCUGCAUCAGCGCUGUGGGUGGUAGGGAGCACAGGCUGGGGCUGCCUGCUGAGAAAGGAGCCCUUGCUCUGGCUGCUGUGUCCCUGACCUGCUGCGCUGUGGGCCAGGCACAGCCCUUGCUUUAGCAGCACUCUCUGGCAGUAACAUCUACACACAUACGCAUCCCACUUUACGGAAGAUGCUAACGCAUAAGGCAGUUCUCUGGAUUCGCUUCUCAGAUUACAAUAUAUGUGUAGGGUCACAGUUUAUCUUCUCCAGAUCUUCUAAUUAUUGAAAUUCAAGAACCCCAUUUAUUU